rnacentral:rRNA from 1 species
UGAGGAAUAUUGGUCAAUGGGCGGAAGCCUGAACCAGCCAUGCCGCGUGCAGGAAGGAGGCCCUACGGGUUGUAAACUGCUUUUACCCGGGAAGAAACCGCCCCCUGUGGGGGGCGUUGCCGGUACCGGGGGAAAAAGGAUCGGCUAACUCCGUGCCAGCAGCCGCGGUAAUACGGAGGAUCCGGGCGUUAUCCGGAAUUACUGGGUUUAAAGGGUGCGUAGGCGGGGCUUUAAGCCGGCGGUGAAAUGCAGCGGCUCAACCGCUGGGAUGCCGUUGGGACUGGGGCUCGUGGAUACGGUCGGGGCGGGUGGAACUCGUGGUGUAGCGGUGAAAUGCAUAGAUAUCACGAGGAACGCCGGCAGCGAAGGCAGCUCGCCGGGCCGGUAUUGACGCUGAGGCACGAAAGCGUGGGGAUCGAACAG